ACAGAUGUAGAUCAAUGUUAGACCAUUUGCCUAGUGUGCAGGAGGCUCUGGGUUCAAUCCCCUGGCACUGGA
rnacentral:tRNA from 1 species